GAAAAGAUUUUUUUAAAAAUCACCCAUUGAUUCCAAAUAAAAUUA
rfam:Monodelphis domestica chromosome 3, whole genome shotgun sequence.